GACACGAAACAAAGGUUGAGAAUGUCGAAGAUAAGGCUUUAUAGGAUACAAAGAUCUUGCGGGUCGGAUUCUUGGUGAUGAAUCUGGUGGAUUCCACUUUCUUGAUUUCGAUUUCUUCUUGAGUAAACAAUUAACUCCUUUGUUUGUUCUUUAUUUUCAUGAUCAGACUCUACACCUUCAUCCUCCUUUUCAUUAACAUUAACAUCAUUAAUUUUUGUGUUAAUUAUAAA